CAAAAAAAAAAAAAAAAAAAAAUCAGGUCACGGUCAUCACUCAUCAACGGCUCCCAGGCUUGAGCUGAGCUCUGGAUUUUGUGAUGCUUACGAGUUCUUAGCACCGCAGUUUUCUUCUUCUUCUUCUUCUUCUUCGUUUCAGCUCAGUACACAUAAAGCUGCAGAAUUCACCGCGAAAAGUGGAGCCAAAAAAAAAAAAAAAAAAAAAAAGGCUCUGUUUCUCUCUGAUUCCAUUUGUUUAAAACUCUGAAACCAUACAAUUUUCAAUUUUUUCCUGGUCCAGUUUGAAGUACCCACUUGGAGUUGAACGCUGUUCUUAGACUUGGUUAUGGGUUCGCUCUCUGUAAACGGUUGGUGGACCAGAACAACUUCAAAAUAUGCUUCUUCUUCCACAAACCCCUUGCGUUUGGAACAAUCUUCCUUCAUCUGUGGGAAUCUCAUUGGCCUAUAUGGUGUACAAAAUGUUUUACCUUCCAAAUUAUGCAGUGGACUCAAAUUUAGCCCAAGGGCUUUUGCAAGCCGGAAAUCAUUCAAGAAAUUGAAAAAGGAUGGAACACAAAAACGUAAAAGCGUUACUGAUAGUUCUUCUAGUAAUGAUUAUGGUCAAGAUGACAAGAAAGUAGAUCCUUCUGAAAAUUUGACUGAGCAGAAACUGAUUUCAAUCCCCUCAAGGAGUAGUGUGCUUCAGGCAUGCACUGUUACUUCGGGUCUAAUAGCUGCUUUCGGUAUAAUAAUUCGACAGGUAUCGCAUUUGGCAUCAGUGGAAGGAUUGCCAAUACUUGACUGCUCAUCAAAAGUAUCGUUUGAUUUUGAGAUGUGGCAUCUUGAGUUGAUUACAGGACUAGUUUUACUGAUAUCGUCAUGCCGAUAUCUUCUAUUGAAGACAUGGUUAGAUUUUGCCGAGUCUAGUGAAGCUGCAAAUCAGCAGGUCCUUACAUCUCUGGGGCCAUUGGAUUACAUGGUCGUUGCAUUUUUGCCUGGGUUUAGUGAGGAACUUCUUUUUCGUGGUGCACUGCUACCGCUUUUUGGAUUUGACUGGAAGAGUGUCUUGGUGGUUGCUGCCAUUUUUGGUGUUCUGCACCUAGGAAGUGGACGGAAGUAUUCCUUUGCUGCCUGGGCAACUUUUGUUGGUAUUGCAUAUGGUUAUGCAACAGUAAUGUCUUCUAGCAUUAUUGUACCGAUGGCUUCACAUGCAGUGAACAAUUUGGUGGGAGGGAUUUUGUGGCGCUAUGAAUCGAAACCAUCAGAACAAAGUCAUUGCAAACAGCGUCUCUUCCAUAUUCUGACUCCGUCGUCCGUACGCUUUUUCUUGGAGUUCUGAAUCUGCUUGAAAUUUCUCAUUCAUGGCAUCGGAGAACCAACUGGUGUGUUGGAUGGCAAUGGGGGUCGUUAUCAAUGUAUGAGAAUGAUAGGCCAUUACCAAAAUUUGGAGAGUGGGAUGUGAAUGAUCCUGCUUCAGCAGAUGGAUUUACUGUCAUAUUCAACAAGGCAA